rnacentral:lncRNA from 1 species
GAUUCUUUCAUCAAUUUGCUUUUGAUUCUUUCAUUUUGGUAUAGCAUUUCUCCCCCUUUUUGACAUCAUCAACAAAAGAUUGUUUACUCCCCCUUUUUCUUUGAAUACAUUUUCUCUUUUUCUUUCUUUUGAUGAAAAUAAUUUUACUAAUAUUACUUUUGUUUACUCCCCUUGAAUACAACAAACAUAAAAGAUAUACCAUUGGAUAUCAUGGAUAGCAUAUAUUAUAAUUCAUAAUAUC